UUUUCCUACGGGAGGCAGCAGUAGGGAAUUUUCGUCAAUGGGCGCAAGCCUGAACGAGCAAUGCCGCGUGAACGAGGAAGGUCUUCGGAUCGUAAAGUUCUGUUGAAGGGGAAAAAGAGCGGAGAGAGGAAACGGUCUCCGAUUGAUAUUACCCUUCGAGGAAGUCACGGCUAACUACGUGCCAGCAGCCGCGGUAAUACGUAGGUGGCAAGCGUUGUCCGGAAUUACUGGGUGUAAAGGGAGCGCAGGCGGUAAGCCAAGUCAG
rnacentral:rRNA from 1 species